GAUGAACGGCUAGCGGCAGGCCUAAUACAUGCAAGUCGAACGGUAAGGCCCUUUCGGGGGUACACGAGUGGCGGACGGGUGCGUAACGCGUAUGCAACAUGCCUUCCAGCGGGGGAUAGUACCAGGGAAACUUGGCGCAAUACCCCAUAGAAUUACGGGACCGCAUGGUUUUUGUGAUUAAAACUCCGGGUGCUGGGAGAUUUGGCAUGCGUGACAUUAGCUAGUUGGCGGGGUAACGCCCACCAAGGCGACGAUGUCUAGCUGGUCUGAGAGGAUGAUCAGCCACACUGGGACUGAGACACGGCCCAGACUCCUACGGGAGGCAGCAGCAGGGAUAUUGGACAAU
rnacentral:rRNA from 1 species